UGGGGAAUGACGGAGCUCAUUAUCAACCCUCAGGCCAUGAAGAGAGCCCAGGAUGAGAUUCGGGGCAUUGUUGGAGACCGAAAAACCGUGCUUGAAACCGACCUCCUUCAAAUGCCCUACCUGAAAGCAGUGAUGAAGGAGAUUUUUCGCCUCCAUCCAGCAGUUCCAGUUCUAGUACCUAGAGAAUCAAUGGAACAUGUUUCGAUCGACGGCUAUGACAUUCCAGCCAAGACUCGGAUCUUUGUGAAUGCCUGGGCCAUUGGGAGGGAUCCUGAGUCAUGGGAGAAUCCAGAGUUGUUCAAUCCGGACAGGUUCAUUGGUAGCUCCAUUGAUUUCAGGGGGCAACACUAUGAGCUGAUACCCUUUGGGGCUGGAAGGAGAGGGUGCCCCGGUAUCACAUUUAGUGUAGCGAGCGUCGAACUUGCGCUGGCACAGUUACUCCACAGCUUCGAUUGGGAGCUUCCGGCCGGUGUCCGAGCAGAAGAUCUG
rnacentral:misc_RNA from 1 species